rnacentral:rRNA from 1 species
GACGAACGCUGGCGGCGUGCUUAACACAUGCAAGUCGAACGGAAAGGCCCUGCUUUUUUGGUGUUCUCGAGUGGCGAAGGGGUGAGUAACAUGGGAGUAACGUGCCCUUGACUUUGGUAUAACUUCAGGAAACGGGGCCUUAUACCGGAUAGCAGUCCCUUCGUGAUGGUGGGGGUGGGAUUGUUUCGGCGGUUGGGGAUGGACGCGCCGCUUAUCAGCUUGUUGGUGUGGUAGUGGCUUACCAAGCCCUUGGACGAUAGCCGGCCGGUGAGGGUGAGCCGCCACAUUAGGACCUGGAUGAGGCCCAGAUCCCUCAGGGAGGAAACAGUGGGGAAAAUUACCAAAAGGGGCGCAGCCUGAUGCAGUAACGCCGCGUGCGGGAUGACGGCCUUAGGGUUGUAAACCGUUUUCGCCUGUGACGAAGCGUGAGUGACGGUACCGGGAAAAGAAGCACCGGCUAACUACGUG